rnacentral:rRNA from 1 species
CGUGUAGGGGGUGUGACCUGGUAAAUCCGGUUGCAUAUCAACCCUGAGGCGUGAUGACGAUGCACUACGGUGCAGAAGUAGUUGAUGCCCUGCUUCCAGGAAAAGCCUCUAAGCUCUAGGUAACAUUAAAUCGUACCCCAAACCGACACAGGUGGUCAGGUAGAGAAUACCAAGGCGCUUGAGAGAACUCGGGUGAAGGAACUAGGCAAAAUGGUGCCGUAACUUCGGGAGAAGGCACGCUGGC